rnacentral:rRNA from 1 species
GAUGAACGCUGGCGGCGUGCCUAAUACAUGCAAGUCGAGCGAACAGAUGAGGAGCUUGCUCCUCUGACGUUAGCGGCGGACGGGUGAGUAACACGUGGAUAACCUACCUAUAAGACUGGGAUAACUUCGGGAAACCGGAGCUAAUACCGGAUAAUAUAUUGAACCGCAUGGUUCAAUAGUGAAAGACGGUUUUGCUGUCACUUCUAGAUGGAUCCGCGCCGCAUUAGCUAGUUGGUAAGGUAACGGCUUACCAAGGCAACGAUGCGUAGCCGACCUGAGAGGGUGAUCGGCCACACUGGAACGGAGACACGGUCCAGACUCCUAAGGGAGGCAGCAGUAGGGAAUCUUCCGCAAUGGGCGAAAGCCUGACGGAGCAACGCCGCGUGAGUGAUGAAGGUCUUCGGAUCGUAAAACUCUGUUAUUAGGGAAGAACAAAUGUGUAAGUAACUAUGCACGUCUUGACGGUACCUAAUCAGAAAGCCACGGCUAACUACGUG